GCUUCCUCUUAAAAUGGGGCACCAGGCACAAAGAGAAUGAAGAUGGCUUUUCCCGACAGAAGCACUCACUGGCCAAAUAGGACAGACACAGGAUGUUCAGCAGAAAGGAACCACCUUUCAGUAAACACAAUCUCUGAAAGACCCGAAACAGAGAUCUCGGCAGAAAUCCAGCUCGCUGUCCUACCUCAAACCUGUGGUGAUUUCCUAUUUGAGGAACCUACAAAUCCCCUGGCUCUGCAUCCACAGUGAGGUUUAUCUGUGAAGAGAAGGGAAAACUACUCCAAGAACCUUCUGUCCCACAGCUAUCCCCAGCCUGAGGGCCUUGGCUUGGCCUCUUCAAACUGGCUGCAGUUGGUUUUCAGCAGAGCGUUCCUGAAGUUUCACAAUGUGUUGAGAACAAGUUUGUAAAAGACAAGUGAAGGCUUGUCAUGAUUUUGUAACCAAUUAUUUCAUUUGUAUUUUAUAAAUGGGUCAUAAAUGUCA